CCGCUCGGGCCCGGGCCCUCGGGGAGCGUCCGACACCGGAACCGAGACCGGAACCUACACAGGAACCGACAUCGGAACCGCCACUUGAUCCGACAACGGCAUUGACACAGGAACCGGCAUCGGAACCGUCACCGAAACUGUCACAGACACCGGCAUUGACACCAGCAUGGGAACUGACUCGAACUCAGAAUUCUUCGAGUUGACCCCAGGAAACACGGUGAAAACUACACCCGCUGAAAUCCAGCCUCAAGGGCUGCAAGUUUACUUCUUGAUGAGUGUUUGAGCAUCAGAUUUCUAAGCUGCCCUAAA